AUGAGGACGACGUUCAGCCCCCUCCUGGCCAGCUGCGGAAAUUCAUUCACUUACUCAGCGGCACUCCCACACCCUGGCCACCAGUGCUGGGGAUGGAAGAGGGGCCUGUUCCAUGGUAGGCAAGAGCCACACCCAAGCCAGCACCUCUGGGUUUUCCUCCAAGCAACCAUGCAGCAGAGGCAGAGGCGCUAUCCCCUUCAUCGGGACCACGUGGUGAACGGCGGCUCUGCUGACUGCUUGCUCCACGACACUGAAAUUCUUAUCCAGCUUCGAAAGCCACCUUGCUCUGCAGCCUCCCCUCCUGAGGGAGAGCGGAAGUCACUGCUUUCUAGGUUUCAACAGGCGCUGCGUUCGGGUGGUGACUGGGCCCGAAGGCCUGAGUGGUAAUAGCUUGGCUUGUUUCGUC
rnacentral:lncRNA from 1 species